rnacentral:rRNA from 1 species
UUUCCCCUUCGGGGGACAAAGUGACAGGUGGUGCAUGGUUGUCGUCAGCUCGUGUCGUGAGAUGUUGGGUUAAGUCCCGCAACGAGCGCAACCCUUAAACUUAGUUGCCAGCAUUUAGUUGGGCACUCUAGGUUGACUGCCGGUGACAAACCGGAGGAAGGUGGGGAUGACGUCAAAUCAUCAUGCCCCUUAUGAUUUGGGCUACACACGUGCUACAAUGGACAAUACAAAGGGCAGCUAAACCGCGAGGUCAUGCAAAUCCCAUAAAGUUGUUCUCAGUUCGGAUUGUAGUCUGCAACUCGACUACAUGAAGCUGGAAUCGCUAGUAAUCGUAGAUCAGCAUGCUACGGUGAAUACGUUCCCGGGUCUUGUACACACCGCCCGUCACACCACGAGAGUUUGUAACACCCGAAGCCGGUGGAGUAACCAUUUAUGGAGCUAGCCGUCGAAGGUGGGACAAAUGAUUGGGGUGAAGUCGUAACAAGGUAGCCGUAUCGGAAGGUGCGGCUGGAUCACCUCCUUUCUAAGGA